rnacentral:sRNA from 1 species
AAACGAUGGAAUUUACUUGCCCUAACC